rnacentral:tRNA from 1 species
GGUUCCAUGGUGUAGCAGUUAGCAUGUCUGCUUUACACACAGAAGGUCCUGGGUUCACACCCCAGUGGAGCCA